rnacentral:rRNA from 1 species
GAUGAACGCUGGCGGCGUGCCUAAUACAUGCAAGUCGAGCGAACGGACGAGAAGCUUGCUUCUCUGAUGUUAGCGGCGGACGGGUGAGUAACACGUGGAUAACCUACCUAUAAGACUGGGAUAACUUCGGGAAACCGGAGCUAAUACCGGAUAAUAUUUUGAACCGCAUGGUCCAAAAGUGAAAGACGGUCUUGCUGUCACUUAUAGAUGGAUCCGCGCUGCAUUAGCUAGUUGGUAAGGUAACGGCUUACCAAGGCAACGAUGCAUAGCCGACCUGAGAGGGUGAUCGGCCACACUGGAACUGAGACACGGUCCAGACUCCUACGGGAGGCAGCAGUAGGGAAUCUUCCGCAAUGGGUGAAAGCCUGACGGAGCAACGCCGCGUGAGUGAUGAAGGUCUUCGGAUCGUAAAACUCUGUUAUUAGGGAAGAACAUAUGUGUAAGUAACUGUGCACAUCUUGACGGUACCUAAUCAGAAAGCCACGGCUAACUACGUG